rnacentral:misc_RNA from 1 species
AACAAGGCGUACCUGCGGACCUGCGGAAGGAUCAUUACAAGUGACCCCGGUCUAACCACCGGGAUGUUCAUAACCCUUUGUUGUCCGACUCUGUUGCCUCCGGGGCGACCCUGCCUUCGGGCGGGGGCUCCGGGUGGACACUUCAAACUCUUGCGUAACUUUGCAGUCUGAGUAGACUUAAUUAAUAAAUUAAAACUUUCAACAAUGGAUCU